GCCGUCGUAGCUCAGUGGGAGAGCAAGGCCCUGUCGAGGCCGAGGUCGCCGGUUCGAACCCGGUCGACGGUG
rnacentral:tRNA from 1 species